CAGCCGCCGCGGUAAUACGUAGGUGGCGAGCGUUGUCCGGAAUCAUUGGGCGUAAAGGGAGCGCAGGCGGGCAUGUAAGUCUUUCUUAAAAGUUCGGGGCUCAACCCCGUGAUGGGAAAGAAACUACAUGUCUUGAGUACAGGAGAGGAAAGCGGAAUUCCCAGUGUAGCGGUGAAAUGCGUAGAUAUUGGGAGGAACACCAGUGGCGAAGGCGGCUUUCUGGACUGUAACUGACGCUGAGGCUCGAAAGCCAGGGGAGCGAACGGGAUUAGAUACCCCUGUAGUCCCUGUCUCUUAUACA
rnacentral:rRNA from 1 species